CGGAAAUGAAAUAGGGAGUCAUAGCUGUCUUCUUGCGCUGAGUCAGUUCCUGGGUGGGGCCCACAAGAUCAGAUGAGCCAGUUUAUCGAUCUGGGUGGUGCCGGCUGAUCCAUCAAGUGCAGGAUCUGCAAAAUAGUUCAAGCACUGGUCUUAGGUUUUACAAUCGUGAUUUUAUCUCCGGGAGCAGUUUGGGGAGAGUCAGAAUCUUGCAGCCUCCAGCGACAUGACACCUAACCGUAAUUUCUAAUCUUGUGGCUAAUUUGUUAGUCCUACAAAGGCAGUCUAGUCCCCAGGCAAGAAGGGGUUUUGUUUUGGGAAAGGGCUGUUAUUCUCUUUGUAUCAAACUAUAAACUAUUAAUAUAAACUAAAUUCCUCCCAAGGGGAGUUCAGCCUACACCCAGGAAUGCACAAGGACAGCUUGGAGCUUAGAAGCAAGUGGAGUUGGUUCAUCUCUUUCACUGGCUCAUAAUUUUGCAACGGCGGUUUCAUCUCUACCCUGACAAUACCUUUUAGUUUUCUUACCCACUGGGGUCGAGACUUAAUUGAAGACCUCAGACGGACAGCAUAACACGGAACCUGAGACCUUGAUUUGCGGGGACAGGCUUAAAGUGUAUUCUGGAGUUGGUGCCCCCACCCCAGGGGCCGGCUCAGAGGGUUCACUUUCCAGCCUAACGGCAGGGGAACCAGAGGCUGCCGACCUGGAUCUCACCUUGAUGGAGGUCUUGUCACCUUCCUCCUUGGCUGGAGAGACAGACUGUGGAUGCUCUCCUGCUGGCCACCCAAAAACAACAAACAGACAAACAAAUAUGAAUGAGGAAAACUUGAAGAGGCCCCACGUGCCAGAGGUGGGACAGCUUGAGAUUUGGUGAGGAUAAUUGCAGUGGCUCAAAACCCAUAAAGAAGUUUAAGUCCAUGAGUUCACCGUAAUCUGAAACAAAAACAAAAACAAAAACAAAUUGAUCAUCUUUGGAGGCUAACAAUCAAUUCAUUAUCUAGAGACAGACAGAGGCUCACUAGUGGCACGAUCUUGGCUGAUUGCAUCUUCCACCUCCUGGGUUCAAGAGAUUCUUGUGCCUUAGCUUCCUGAGUAGCUAAGAUUACAGGUGUGCACCACCACGCCCGGCUAAUUUUUGUAUUUUUAGUUGAGAUGAGGUUUCACCAUGUUGGCCAGGCUGGUCUCGAACUCCUGACCUCAAGUGAUCUGCCCGCCCCGGCCUCCCAAAGUGCUGGGAUUACAGGCGUGAGCUACUGUGGCCGGCCACAUUUCCCUUCUGGUGCGCGUCCUCCUGUAGCUGUGGGAUCAGGGGAGGUAGAGAUGUCUUGUAACUGACUCAAGUUUGGCUGCUUGCCGCAGGAGAAGCGAGGUGUGGUGAAAGGAAAGCAACUUUUAUUCAGAUGCUAGCAGGUGGGAGAGUGGCCAGGCUCAAGGCUCUAAGGAACCAUCUCAGCUUUUUGGACUGCGUGAAGGGCUUUAGGAAGGAGAACUCGGUGUGGGAGACAUGUGGGAGUAGGGCAGUGGUGCAGGUGUCUUGAGUAAUUGCCCAUCCGGAGGUCUAGUUGGCAUCAUCUUGACCUUGGUCUGGUGGUGGUGGACUCAUUGUUCAUAACUCCCCUAGACAGGAGGAUUCCACAGCUGGGUUCUAUGCCUGGUUUAUUUAAAAAUGAGCCCCUGGCAUUUCUAAGCAGGCACAGAAUGAGAUAAGUGAGCACUGUGGCUGGUGGGAAAGGGAGGGAAACAGGUUUAAAGUAUGUUUCAAGGCUGCAUUCUGAGACUAGGAGGGAAAGGAAGAAAAACUUUAAAAUUCUUCUCAAGGCUGAGAUAUUUGACUACAGUCUCAUGCCCAAAAUGUUUCUAUUCUACACUGAGACCUGAUAGAUAAUUUGGCUGCAUACCUGGAGUCCAGUGUGUGCACCUGCCCCUCCCAUCCCAUACUCGCAGCCAGUGGAAAAGUCUGCAAAAGGAAGCCAGCUGGGAGUGCCCACCAGAGUCAAAGUCUGGGGCAGGCUGGUGGACUCAAGAGGAGUCUUAAAUAUUGGAAAUGUCAUCACAAACCAUCUGGGAAGCCCCCUCCUCUUAAAAAGGACAUAAAGUCAAAGUGAACAGGUGUGCUCACUCCAAGCCCGUGCCCACAACCACAGUGCCCUUCACAUUCAGAGUCAUGGCCACUAGCCACAAAAUUGUGACUUACAGUUCACAAAAUUGGGACAUAUUUACAUGUUGACUAAGUUGGGAAAUAAUUUGGAUUUUCUUUAAAAGUAGUAAAAGUAAAGAAGAAAAAGUCAAAAAGGUCUGACAUCUAAGAGGGUGAAAUUUCCUUACUUUAGAUCACAAGCAAUCAGGCUGAUCCCGCCUGAGCCCUGAGCUCCCUGGGACCCAGCAGCAGCUGUGCAUUGGCACGUGGUGCCCUGUGUCUGAUCAGCUGACUCCUCAGGCAAAACCUGCACCAUUUUCACCAGAAUUGCAGAUGUCCUCAGUGUCAUUACAAAGUUCCUAAGUCAUGACCAUUCUGUCCUGUGGAACCAGGCUGGACUAAGCUCCCAUUUCUUUAAGCCAUCCUGUCCCCUGCAGGGACUUCCAAGGUGGAGCUGAUGAGCAAUAGUUAUGAGUCAUUGGAGGAGACAUCCCAGAGGCGCCAGCUCCCCUCUGCCCUAAACUGAAAUUAAGACCUGGUGCUCUGGGUGGGGCCCCUGGAAGGGGAUGUGCAACUCAGAGGGGACCUUCUCCACCUCCACCCAGGAGACCCCAGAGGGACCAUGGCAGAGCCGGAGCCCUCUUUUUUUUUGUUCGUUUUUUAUUUUAUUAUUAUUAUACUUUAAGUUUUAGCCCUCUUUUAAAAACCAAAUGAAAAUAAGCAAAAGAAGCCAAUCGUCUCUGUGAAAUGUCCAGAAGAGGGAACUCUGUAGAGACAGAGAGGAUAUUAUUGGCUGCCGGAGGCUGGGAAUGGGAAGGUGAGGGGCCUGGGGAGGUGAUGGUUAAAAGAUUCUUCUUUGUGGUGAUGAAAUUGUCUUAAAAUGGACUGUGGUGAUAGUUGUGCAACUUGGUGAAUAUAUAAGUUAUUGAAUUGUACACUUUAAAUGGGUGAAUUGUAUGGUGUGUGAAACAUAUCUCAAUAAAGCUGUUAUUUGAAAAAUAAAUAA
rnacentral:lncRNA from 1 species